UUCCGGUUGAUCCUGCCGGACCCGACUGCUAUUUGGGUGAGAAUAAGCCAUGCAAGUCGAAUGGAAUACCAAAAUAUUCCAUGGCAAACUGCUCAAUAACACGUGAUCAACUUACCCUAUGGAAGACAAUAACCUCUGGAAACGGAGGAUAAUGGUUUAUAGUUGAAAAGGCUUGGAAAAGUUUUUCAAUAAAAGGGAAUAAUAAAAAUGGUUAUUAUUUUGCCAUAGGAUAGGAUUGCGGUCGAUUAUGGCUGUUGGUGAGGUAAUGGCUCACCAAACCAAUAAUCGAUAGGGGCCGUGAGAGCGGGAGCCCCGAGAUGGGUACUGAGACAACGACCCAGGCCUUACGAGGUGCAGCAGGCGCGAAAACUCCGCAAUACACGAAAGUGUGACGGGGUUACCCAAAGUGCUUAAUUUUUAAGCUGUGGUAAGUGUGUAAUGUACCUUACUAGAAAGGAGAGGGCAAGGCUGGUGCCAGCCGCCGCGGUAAAACCAGCUCUUCAAGUGGUCGGGAUAUUUAUUGGGCUUAAAGUGUCCGUAGCUUGUAUAAUAAGUUCCUGGUAAAAUCUAAUAGCUUAACUAUUAGUAUGCUAGGAAUACUGUUAUACUAGAGGGCGGGAGAGGUUUGAGGUACUUCAGGGGUAGGGGUGAAAUCCUAUAAUCCUUGAAGGACCACCAGUGGCGAAGGCGUCAGACUGGAACGCGCCUGACAGUGAGGGACGAAAGCCAGGGGAGCGAACCGGAUUAGAUACCCGGGUAGUCCUGGCCGUAAACGAUGCACACUAGGUGUUGGUAUGGCUAUGAGCCAUAUCAGUGCCGAAGGGAAACCAUUAAGUGUGCCGCCUGGGAAGUACGGUCGCAAGGCUAAAACUUAAAGGAAUUGGCGGGGGAGCACCACAAGGGGUGAAGCCUGCGGUUCAAUUGGAUUCAACGCCGGA
rnacentral:rRNA from 1 species